AACGAACGCUGGCGGCAUGCCUAACACAUGCAAGUCGAACGAGAUCUUCGGGUCUAGUGGCGCACGGGUGCGUAACGCGCGGGAAUCUGCCCUUUGGUUCGGAAUAACAGUUGGAAACGACUGCUAAUACCGGAUGAUGACGAAAGUCCAAAGAUUUAUCGCCAGAGGAUGAGCCCGCGUAGGAUUAGCUAGUUGGUGUGGUAAAGGCGCACCAAGGCGACGAUCCUUAGCUGGUCUGAGAGGAUGAUCAGCCACACUGGGACUGAGACACGGCCCAGACUCCUACGGGAGGCAGCAGUGGGGAAUAUUGGACAAUGGGCGGAAGCCUGAUCCAGCAAUGCCGCGUGAGUGAUGAAGGCCUUAGGGUUGUAAAGCUCUUUUACCCGGGAUGAUAAUGACAGUACCGGGAGAAUAAGCUCCGGCUAACUCCGUGCCAGCAGCCGCGGUAA
rnacentral:rRNA from 1 species